rnacentral:rRNA from 1 species
CCUACGGGAGGCAGCAGUGGGGAAUAUUGCACAAUGGGGGCAAGCCUGAUGCAGCCAUGCCGCGUGUGUGAAGAAGGCCUUCGGGUUGUAAAGCACUUUCAGCGGGGAGGAAGGCGUUAAGGUUAAUAACCUUGGCGAUUGACGUUACCCGCAGAAGAAGCACCGGCUAACUCCGUGCCAGCAGCCGCGGUAAUACGGAGGGUGCAAGCGUUAAUCGGAAUUACUGGGCGUAAAGCGCACGCAGGCGGUCUGUCAAGUCGGAUGUGAAAUCCCCGGGCUCAACCUGGGAACUGCAUUCGAAACUGGCAGGCUAGAGUCUUGUAGAGGGGGGUAGAAUUCCAGGUGUAGCGGUGAAAUGCGUAGAGAUCUGGAGGAAUACCGGUGGCGAAGGCGGCCCCCUGGACAAAGACUGACGCUCAGGUGCGAAAGCGUGGGGAGCAAACAGGAUUAGAUACCCCAGUAGUC